rnacentral:rRNA from 1 species
AGAUGAUGCCUAUCAACUGUUUAAAGAUGGUUCUGCUAUCACUCUUGGGAUGGACCUUGCGGUGCAUUAGCUAGUUGGUAAGGGUAACGGCCUACCAAGGCGAUGAUGCAUAGCCCGAGUUGAGAGACUGAUCGGGCCACAUUGGGGACUGAGACACGGGCCCAAAAACUCCUACGGGGAGGCAGCAGUAGGGAAUCUUCCACAAUGGACGCAAGUCUGAUGGAGCAAACGCCGCGUGAGUGAAGAAGGGUUUCGGCUCGUAAAGCUCUGUUGUUGGUGAAGAAGGACAGGGGUAGUAACUGACCUUUGUUUGACGGUAAUCAAUUAGAAAGUCACGGCUAACUACGUGCCAGCAGCCGCGGUAAU